rnacentral:lncRNA from 1 species
AAAUCAUACAGAUGGGAAAGGACAUCCUAAGAAGAAGAAUCUGCAAAAUGCAAAGACUUGAGGCAUGACCUAUUCAGAGAGGGGGGUUUGGAGUCCACAGUCUGGUAGAAGAAGGGCUGGCGAAGAGAUUCGUAUCGAUCAAGACAGGAAAGUCAAGUCUCUCGGCAGUGAAUCUGUUUUGUGUACCGAAAACAGUAUGGUCUAGUGGAGAGCGCCCUGGAUUUGAGGCCACAAAACCAAUGUCUUCUCGAGAUGUAGUUUACAGGCAGAAAUGGAAACACUGAUGACAGCUUGUCAGAGAUUACACACCUGGGAUGUGAUGGAGCAAGAAUUAAGCUCAGCAGUCUGCCUCCUGCACCGCGCUCCUAACAAUUGUUCUCUAUCAUGCACUCCCUUUCAUGUAUUCAGUAUUCUCAAAGAAAACGUUGUUAUAAAACAGCAUACUUAUGACUUUUAUUAUUACAAACGAGUAAAUUUGUGUCUUCUCGGUCUUACAUGAAAAUAAACAUUUUGGCUUAAAC